UGGUCAUUACCAAGGCUUUUAGAAUGCAGUUUCUCAUUUGCUGUGGACAUGACCAUAAAAAAAAAUUUCCCAGUAGGUUUUCUAUCUGCUACGUUGCUAGCAAUCAGCUUAUUGGGAACAGUU
rnacentral:snoRNA from 10 species